UACGUAGGUGGCAAGCGAUACUCGGAAUCACUGGGCGUAAAGCGUGCGCAGGCGGUGAUGUAAGACAGUUGUGAAAUCCCCGGGCUUAACCUGGGAACUGCGCUUGUGACUGCACAGCUAGAGUAUGGCAGAGGGGGGUGGAAUUCCACGUGUAGCAGUGAAAUGCGUAGAGAUGUGGAGGAACACCGAUGGCGAAGGCAGCCCCCCUGGGCCAAUACUGACGCUCAUGCACGAAAGCGUGGGGAGCAAACAGG
rnacentral:rRNA from 1 species